UACGGGAGGCAGCAGUGGGGAAUAUUGCACAAUGGGCGCAAGCCUGAUGCAGCCAUGCCGCGUGUAUGAAGAAGGCCUUCGGGUUGUAAAGUACUUUCAGCGGGGAGGAAGGCGGUGAAGUUAAUAGCUUCACCGAUUGACGUUACCCGCAGAAGAAGCACCGGCUAACUCCGUGCCAGCAGCCGCGGUAAUACGGAGGGUGCAAGCGUUAAUCGGAAUUACUGGGCGUAAAGCGCACGCAGGCGGUCUGUCAAGUCGGAUGUGAAAUCCCCGGGCUUAACCUGGGAACUGCAUUCGAACUGGCAGGCUAGAGUCUUGUAGAGGGGGUAGAAUUCCAGGUGUAGCGGUGAAAUGCGUAGAGAUCUGGAGGAAUACCGGUGGCGAAGGCGGCCCCUGGGACAAAGACUGACGCUCAGGGUGCGAAAGCGUGGGGAGCAAACGAGGAUUAGGAUACC
rnacentral:rRNA from 1 species